UACGUAGGGCGCGAGCGUUGUCCGGAAUUAUUGGGCGUAAAGAGCUCGUAGGCGGCCUGUUGCGUCCGCUGUGAAAUCCCGGGGCUCAACCCUGGGCGUGCAGUGGAUACGGGCAGGCUGGAGGCAGGCAGGGGAGAACGGAAUUCCCGGUGUAGCGGUGAAAUGCGCAGAUAUCAGGAAGAACACCCGUGGCUAAGGCGGCUCUCUAGUACGGUACUGACGCUGAGGAGCGAAAGCGUGGGGAGCGAACAGG
rnacentral:rRNA from 1 species